GAUGAAGAACGUAGCGAAAUGCGAUAAGUAAUGUGAAUUGCAGAAUUCAGUGAAUCAUCGAGUCUUUGAACGCACAUUGCGCCCUCUGGUAUUCCGGAGGGCAUGCCUGUCCGAGCGUCAUUGCUGCCCUCAAGCACGGCUUGUGUGUUGGGCUCCGUCCCCCGAUCCCGGGGGACGGGCCCGAAAGGCAGCGGCGGCACCGCGUCCGGUCCUCGAGCGUAUGGGGCUUUGUCACCCGCUCUGUAGGCCCGGCCGGCGCUUGCCGAUCAACCAAAUUUUUAUCCAGGUUGACCUCGGAUCAGGUAGGGAUACCCGCUGAACUUACGCAUAUCAAUAAGCGGAGGA
rnacentral:misc_RNA from 1 species